UACAGAGGUCCCAAGCGUUGUUCGGAUUCAUUGGGCGUAAAGAGCUCGUAGGCGGCUCGUCGCGUCGACCGUGAAAACCCGCGGCUUAACUGCGGGCUUGCGGUUGAUACGGGCGGGCUAGAGUUCGGUAGGGGAGACUGGAAUUCCUGGUGUAGCGGUGAAAUGCGCAGAUAUCAGGAGGAACACCGGUGGCGAAGGCGGGACUCUGGGCCGAUACUGACGCUGAGGAGCGAAAGCGUGGGGAGCAAACAGG
rnacentral:rRNA from 1 species